rnacentral:lncRNA from 1 species
GGGUGAUCAUGUGAAGGGAAGUGAGGUGACAGUGGCGUCCUGCUGUAGGGCAGUCCCUCUCUAGAAACCUGUUUGGGUGAAGGGCUCUCUGGGGCAUCUCCUGGGUCCUGGUGUGUCAGGCUGGGUAUUGCUGUGAUGGAGGCUGCGUGGCUUUAGGCACCGGAGACUCUGGGCCCACCUCUGAACACAUCUAGCUCUGCAACCCUGUCUCACACUCCACUGAAAAUCAAAGCUGGAAUAGCAGUGAAGAGCUUUUGUUUUGUUUUUUUUGGCUACACCCUCAGCAUGCAGAAGUUCCUGGGUGACAGUGCUGCAUCUUUACCUACCAGGCCACCUGGAAGCUCCAGCAGCGAAGGUUUUAAUAAGAUUUUCAUGAUGGAGUCAUGAUCACGUGACCACACGAUCCUGGUCUUUUCCAGCCCAGUGUCUAGGUUUUUAUGCCGAAGCGUCUUGACUCCCCCCUGGGCAGGGAGGUGACGAGGCGUCUGCAGGAUACAACCGAAGCUGUGCUUGGCUGGUCUGCUCUCCCUGGCUCAGGCCAUUCCCCAGGCCCCUGGCGCCAGCCUCCUGUCCACCCUGGCUCUUUGCAUCCUCUUCUGCUCCUGCAUCGAAAGUGAUCGUGGGCUGUGGUGCCCUGGUCAUUGAUACUGCAGGGAGAGGAGUCGCUGAAAGCCGUUUCCCCGUGUUUGAAGGGUUCAUCCAUCCCUUCCAAACCCUGGAGCUUUCACACACUAGCUUUUGUCUUCUGCCAUUCCUUUCAAAGCUCAGGCCUUCCUGGCCCGCAUGUGAUAUGGUGACCAGGCUAGCCCCCCACUAGUGGGGUUCACUUUGUCUUUGGAGCUGAGGAGGCGCUUGACAGGAACUCCAGUCUAUACAUUUAUAUUUGGACCUCACCUGGAAAAAAUCCAGGUGGUGCUGACGGGCACGGGGGAGAACUGUAAAUUGAGUUCUGCUCUAUGAAUUUACACGAGUGGAGGGAGGGUAGUCCAUAAAAAUACAUUAUUCAUUGUAGCCCCUGACUUAUAGGCUCUUUGGUGUGUUGUCUCUGCUCCUUUACUCUUCCUGGAACACAAUGUGUGCUCCAGCAGUCAGUGAUGUCGAGUAUAUGGAGAAAGGAAAAUAAAGAUGGGAGCCAGAUGUAGGGGCAAAGAGGGGUUCUAUCAAUUCUGAAUCAGUAAAAAAGUUUCUAUUUGUCACCAUCUCCCAAAAACCUGAGGAGUCUUGUCAGGCACUGAGAAGAGGGUGUUGACUGGCCAAGUGUAGCCCUCCUUGUAAUCUGUGCUUUUGUAGGUUCUCUUUUUAAAGGGUGACCCCAGAGUUUCACUAGAGAAGAAACUCCCAGGCCUGUGGUUCUGAGGCUCCCUAGCUUUCUGGUUCACAUCAGUGGGUGUAUUAGAUGGCUGGCGGAGUCCCCAGCCAUGUCGUCAGCCCUCAGCAGGGGGCUGACCUGCCUUUCUAUGCUACAGAUGUGUUGGUGGAAGGCUGAAACUCUGCAAUGGUGCUUUCAUUACUCGGUGACCCUGAAGAGGCAACACGGCGCCCCCUAGAGGCAUGACUGGCUCCCAGGUAACAGGUGAGACUGAAGGAGAGGUCUGGGUAUUCAUCCCAUUCAUCCCCACUUUGGUUUGAGGGCUUCUGUGUCGUUCUCGUCUGUGUACAUUCAGACUCAUAUUUGAGGAUGGGAACCUGUUUCGCCAGAUCUCAUGAUGUGAAGGUAGUGAGAAUAAUAUAUGUGAACCACCUAAUUCAAGUGGUAGUCAUCUAAUACACCUGAGAUUUCCUGUCUUUCAAACCUUUUGCAUCAGAGACUUGUCCUGUCACACUGCCUAGUCCCUGGUCCCGGGGCUCAGCCAGUCUGGAGGAUUUAGUGGUGAUGAUGACAAUUUUUAAAAGACCGUUUAUCACCCCCCACUCCUAGUCCCAGGCCUGGGAAUUCAGAUCUCUGGGUUAACACUGUGCGAUGAGUUGGGUUUCACUUGUGUAAUGUCCUCAAGCCUUGAUGUUUUCUCGUUUGUCCUUCAAAUGGGCCUGGCAGUCUUAAUCCUCAACCAUCUGGGCACCCAACAAGCCUUGUUGAAAAUUUUUCUCUUGCCUUUCUCGGCUUGAUCGUACUUGCAGAACAACAUGACAGGCUGGGCAGAUGACGAUGGUGGGUGAGCUGCCAAGGUUGGUCCAUCCCUCUGAUCAAGAUGCAGUGGGAACUCAUGUCAGAGCCCCUGCCGAUGGUGCUAAGCUCUGGUCCAUCUACUCAGCUGCCCUGAUUGAGAACUGCUUGAAAAGUCAUUUAUUUAUUCUAAAAGCUGAACUUCUGAGAUUUUUUUCCCUUUAUUACCUUGUAUAUUCAGGUGACAUCUAGUUUGGCUGUGUAAACUGGGAGCUUGGGCCUGUUCCAUUGGGAUCCUCUGAGCUGUUACUUGAAGAUGGUGCUGGAAAGUAAUGCUUGUGGGCUUCUUCUAGAUUCAUCCACUGUGUGCACAGCAGCGGGACAGAAUGGAGAGGGAGGUCCCCACACGAAGCCUCACCAGGGCUCGCUGCCCUCUGCGCCGAGUCAUGGGAGAACCCUUCCCUCAGCACAGAGAUGAGGGGAAGCCCUGGGACUGGCAUCUCUUGAGUCCCGACACUGCCCUGGUUGGGGGGUGGGGGAGCUGUGGACAGGGAAGGCUGGCCCUGAGCCUCAAUGCUGCGCCUGGAUGACUUCAGCAACCAGGAGUUUUUCUCUUGAGUUGGCAGCUGCUUGUCAAUCUGCUCUCCACCCAUCCACUCAAUAAACUGUACACAG